AAGUUUCAGUCAGUAUUGUUGGUUUCCCGACACCAAUGUUGUCACAAUCGCAACAAACUGCUCGUACUGCCCAAUGUGCCAAAACAAAUUGAUGAGAAUUUUGUCCGUCUGACAUUGCGCAUCCGUGCCGAGAGCCAGGUUGAAGCGCCCCAUGCCGUUUAUUGCCGCCUGUCUGUUCCUCGCGGGUCGUCCUCGCGGCUUCGCCUGAGCGUCGUGACAUCUGUUGUGAUGGCGGGACUCUGGAGGACUGCAUCCGCCAGUGACAUUCCACCUCUUGACAGGUGAGGAAGUGAGAGCGAGAGGAGAGGGAAGAAGGAUGUUCGGGGCUAUGCGACUGCUCCAACACAGCUGGAGACCCGGUUAUUGGACGCGAUUCUUGUUGUGUUAACAUUAGCAGAACUGGAACGGAUGAAACUGGGAUUCAAUUUGAGGGGGGUGGGGGGGGGGCAUCUUGAGGAAUGUUAAACAAUACAUUUGUAUAAGAAUGUUGAAGAGUUAUUUGGUUGUUGGCAAUACAAAAAUCCAAACUUUCUACUUGAGUAUUUUCUGUGGACCAUAUAGGCAGCCAUUUGGUUGAUUUAUUUGCUUAAAAAUCUUUUCUCCAUUUUUGGGGGUGUCAAUUUAGGCGCUCUCCACGCCUGGUCGACUCUUAUUGAUGCUUCUAUUAUUACACAAUACGCUGUGGGUCUCGAAAGAGCUGAUCAAACUGAUCAAAAGACAAGCGAGCUAAACUGGAGCCUCUUUCGUAAGUACGCACGUUUAUCCUCGCUACGGUCGAGGGGUGAGCUUGGAAACUACCCCGGUGGACUUUGGCCACGAGACGUGGUACACCCUCAACUGGUCACCAGCCAACGGCGGCCCAUAUCGAGAGUCUGCGUGAAGCUCACGGGUAUGUUUCGGGAACGUGGGAGUAGAAAUUUCACCAAGGCGUGGAAACAGAGAAUCUGCAAAGUCCGCAAACCUCAAAUCUCUCCUCUGCCAUGCUAAGCAGCAGUUCAAAGGAGUUGCCCUCAAAUGCGCAUGUCGUUCCACUUAAGGCAAUUCUUCCUCACGGGAACUUUGCAUUGGAACAUUCUUGCUGAAAUCGACGUUGUCGAGCGGGGGCGGCGUAUUGACGACGCAUAUUGUAAUCACGUCAACAAGCCGAGGCCGGGCUUGUUUGUUUCAAUCCCUGCUGGGUCCGCGGAAGGCAAUGAAAAGUCAUAAAAUCAACCCAGGACGUGAUAACGGCCAGAUGGCCAGCUGGUGAACGCUGCCUGUCUUCGCCUGAAGGAGUGAUUUAUCCUUUCCGUCUGCGCGCCGUUUGCUUUUUCACUUAGGGAGAAGGAAUCACUAUUCCGACAUGAACAUUGACAGUCACCUCGGGGAAGCCAUCAGAUGAUUUAUGACUGGAAGUUUGGACACAAAUUUGGUGUCCACUCCAGAAAUGUUUACAAUAUUAAUCACUGGCCUGUUGUUGGUUUCUACGGAAGGGUUAAAGGGGGAGCCUUCGAAAAAGCUCUUGCCCCCCGAGCCAGCCCGGGUCCAAGGCCACGACCUGCUUCGGAAGAGACGUGACAGUGUUGGAGAAUAAAUGUUCCUGAAAAUGACAUGCCACGUUCGCCUCCUAAGGCAGGCGGAUGUGCCGGAGUGUCAGCUCUGUGUCAAAUGGGCCGCAAGGAUUUGCAAAUCUCACAUAUAGCAUUCAUGGUAUAGGUUGUGCACAAUGCAUUUACAAGAGACGUCGCUGAUGCUCGCACCUUAGCCAGCUCAAUGCAGGCGUUUGCAAAAAAAAAUAAUAAUA